rnacentral:rRNA from 1 species
UCGAGAAUCUUCGGCAAUGCACUAACGUGUGACCGAGCGACGCUGCGUGGAGGAAGAAGGCCUUCGGGUUGUAAACUCCUGUCGUGCGGGAAGAACUUUGACGGUACCACACAAGAAAGGGGCGCCUAACUCUGUGCCAGCAGGCGCGGUAAUACAGAGGCCCCGAGCGUUACCCGGAUUCAUUGGGCGUAAAGCGUCCGCAGGCGGCUAUCUGCGUCGGUCGUGAAUCCCUGGGCUUAACCCAGGAACGCCAACCGAUACGAGAUAGCUUGAGGCAGGGAGAGGUCAGUGGAACUCAUGGUGAAGCAGUGAAUGCGUUGAUAUCAUGGGGAACACCAAUUGCGAAGGCAGCUGACUGGUCCUGUCCUGACGCUCAGGGACGACAGCGUGGGGAGCGAAUGGGAUUAGAUACCCCAGUAGUCCACGCCGUAAACGUUGCCGACUAAGCAUUGGAAGUAUCGACCCUUUCAGUGUCGAAGCUAACGCG